GCCCGAGUGGCGGAAUUGGUAGACGCAGGGGAUUCAAAAUCCCCCGCCGCAAGGCGUGCCGGUUCGAGUCCGGCCUCGGGUACCA
rnacentral:tRNA from 1 species